rnacentral:rRNA from 1 species
CACGUAGGGUGCGAGCGUUGUCCGGAAUUAUUGGGCGUAAAGAGCUCGUAGGCGGUGUGUCGCGUCGGCCGUGAAAACUUGCAGCUUAACUGUGGGCGUGCGGUCGAUACGGGCAUCACUGGAGUUCGGCAGGGGAGACUGGAAUUCCUGGUGUAGCGGUGAAAUGCGCAGAUAUCAGGAGGAACACCAAUGGCGAAGGCAGCACUCUGGGCCGGUACUGACGCGGAGGAGCGAAAGCGUGGGGAGCAAACAGG